rnacentral:rRNA from 1 species
CAGGACGAACGCUGGCGGCGUGCUUAACACAUGCAAGUCGAACGGGGAUUAGUUGAUAGAGAGCUUCGGCAGGAAAUUGAUUAAUCGAGUGGCGGACGGGUGAGUAACGCGUGAGCAACCUGUCCCAGACAGGGGGAUAACACUUGGAAACAGGUGCUAAUACCGCAUAAGACCACGGGAUCACAUGGUUCUGGGGUAAAAGGAGCAAUCCGGGUUUGGGGUGGGCUCGCGUCCGAUUAGCCAGUUGGCGGGGUAACGGCCCACCAAAGCGACGAUCGGUAGCCGACCUGAGAGGGUGAACGGCCACAUUGGAACUGAGAGACGGUCCAAACUCCUACGGGAGGCAGCAGUGGGGAAUAUUGGGCAAUGGGCGAAAGCCUGACCCAGCAACGCCGCGUGAGUGAAGAAGGCCUUCGGGUUGUAAAGCUCUGUUAUAGUUGACGAAGGAAGUGACGGUAGGCUAUAAGGAAGCCCCGGCUAACUACGUGCCAGCCGCGGC